rnacentral:rRNA from 1 species
UACGUGGGGAGCAAGCGUUGUCCGGAAUCAUUGGGCGUAAAGCGCGCGUAGGUGGCUUCGUAAGUCCGUUGUGAAAGUCAAAGGCUCAACCUUUGAAAGCCGAUGGAUACUGCGGAGCUAGAGUACGGAAGAGGCGAGUGGAAUUCCUGGUGUAGCGGUGGAAUGCGCAGAUAUCAGGAGGAACACCGGUGGCGAAGGCGGGUCUCUGGGCCGUUACUGACGCUGAGGAGCGAAAGCGUGGGGAGCGAACAGG